rnacentral:rRNA from 1 species
CGGGUGAGUAACACGUAUCCAACCUGCCGUCUACUCUUGGCCAGCCUUCUGAAAGGAAGAUUAAUCCAGGAUGGGAUCAUGAGUUCACAUGUCCGCAUGAUUAAAGGUAUUUUCCAGUAGACGAUGGGGAUGCGUUCCAUUAGAUAGUAGGCGGGGUAACGGCCCACCUAGUCAACGAUGGAUAGGGGUUCUGAGAGGAAGGUCCCCCACAUUGGAACUGAGACACGGUCCAA